GUCGAGCGGACAGAAGGGAGCUUGCUCCCGGAUGUUAGCGGCGGACGGGUGAGUAACACGUGGGUAACCUGCCUGUAAGACUGGGAUAACUCCGGGAAACCGGAGCUAAUACCGGAUAGUUCCUUGAACCGCAUGGUUCAAGGAUGAAAGACGGUUUCGGCUGUCACUUACAGAUGGACCCGCGGCGCAUUAGCUAGUUGGUGGGGUAAUGGCUCACCAAGGCGACGAUGCGUAGCCGACCUGAGAGGGUGAUCGGCCACACUGGGACUGAGACACGGCCCAGACUCCUACGGGAGGCAGCAGUAGGGAAUCUUCCGCAAUGGACGAAAGUCUGACGGAGCAACGCCGCGUGAGUGAUGAAGGUUUUCGGAUCGUAAAGCUCUGUUGUUAGGGAAGAACAAGUGCGAGAGUAACUGCUCGCACCUUGACGGUACCUAACCAGAAAGCCACGGCUAACUACGUGCCAGCAGCCGCGGUAAUACGUAGGUGGCAAGCGUUGUCCGGAAUUAUUGGGCGUAAAGGGCUCGCAGGCGGUUUCUUAAGUCUGAUGUGAAAGCCCCCGGCUCAACCGGGGAGGGUCAUUGGAAACUGGGAAACUUGAGUGCAGAAGAGGAGAGUGGAAUUCCACGUGUAGCGGUGAAAUGCGUAGAGAUGUGGAGGAACACCAGUGGCGAAGGCGACUCUCUGGUCUGUAACUGACGCUGAGGAGCGAAAGCGUGGGGAGCGAACAGGAUUAGAUACCCUGGUAGUCCACGCCGUAAACGAUGAGUGCUAAGUGUUAGGGGGUUUCCGCCCCUUAGUGCUGCAGCUAACGCAUUAAGCACUCCGCCUGGGGAGUACGGUCGCAAGACUGAAACUCAAAGGAAAUUGACGGGGGCCCGCACAAGCGGGUGGAGCAUGUGGUUUAAUUCGAAGCAACGCGAAGAACCUUACCAGGUCUUGACAUCCUCUGACAACCCUAGAGAUAGGGCUUUCCCUUCGGGGACAGAGUGACAGGUGGUGCAUGGUUGUCGUCAGCUCGUGUCGUGAGAUGUUGGGUUAAGUCCCGCAACGAGCGCAACCCUUGAUCUUAGUUGCCAGCAUUCAGUUGGGCACUCUAAGGUGACUGCCGGUGACAAACCGGAGGAAGGUGGGGAUGACGUCAAAUCAUCAUGCCCCUUAUGACCUGGGCUACACACGUGCUACAAUGGACAGAACAAAGGGCUGCAAGACCGCAAGGUUUAGCCAAUCCCAUAAAUCUGUUCUCAGUUCGGAUCGCAGUCUGCAACUCGACUGCGUGAAGCUGGAAUCGCUAGUAAUCGCGGAUCAGCAUGCCGCGGUGAAUACGUUCCCGGGCCUUGUACACACCGCCCGUCACACCACGAGAGUUUGCAACACCCGAAGUCGGUGAGGUAACCUUUAUGGAGCCAGCCGCC
rnacentral:rRNA from 2 species